AUGAAAGAAUAUAGAACAGUUAGGUAAGCUAACAGCUCUUUAUUAUUUUCAUCCCCAAAAAAAUAAAUACCGCUAAAUAAUUUAAGAAGAUAGAGAUCGGUUGUAUUCCUAACAGUUGCGUAUUCUUUAGAUACAAAAACCUAAAAUCACCCACCCUUUUACCAGCCGCUAGCCAUAUAUAACUUACUCUUCAACAAUUAGCAUCAUCUUUUCAUCUUUAACUUACAAACCCCUUUGAAUUUUUUUCAUCAACCGUAUGAGGUAAUUUCUACACCUCUUUUCCCCUCAAUUUCUUCUAUUGUACAAUUAUCGUCCUUCAUCCCUUCAAUUUCUCUUGAAUUUAUUCUACUUUUUUUUACAUGUCUUGCAAUUAUUAUUGGAUUGGGAUUUUGGUUGAAGAUCUGACAAUCGAUGAAGGAUUUUGUUGCUCCGAUAAUACAUAUAAUUAUCAGUGAGCAACCACAGUCGAAUUUAAUUAUACUAGUCGAAAUCAGAGGAGAAGAAAUGCUUGAAUUAAUAUCUUCACGGAGUUUUUUUUUUUUUUUGUAAGUCUCUUAUUCUUCAUUUUUUUUUUUUUGGACUUCCAUUAAAAAUGUAUAUGUACUGUUUUGAUUAAUUGAAUAUAGAGUUUGUUCUUGUAUAUAUA